AAUCAACGCUGGCGGCGUGCCUAACACAUGCAAGUCGAGCGGGAAAGGGGGCUUCGGUCCCUGAGUAUAGCGGCGGACGGGUGAGUAACACGUGGGUAAUUUGCCCUUGGGUGUGGAAUAACUCAGGGAAACUUGAGCUAAUACCGCAUGACAUCCCCUUCACACACGAGUUGGGGAUCAAAGCCGGGGACCCUUCGGGGCCUGGCGCCUGAGGAGAAGCCCGCGCCCGAUUAGCUAGUUGGGAGGUAAUGGCUCACCAAGGCUUCGAUCGGUAGCCGGCCUGAGAGGGCGGACGGCCACACUGGGACUGAGACACGGCCCAGACUCCUACGGGAGGCAGCAGUGGGGUAAUUUUUGUUCAAUGGGGGGAAACCCGUGAACAAGCAACGCCGCGUGGAGGACGACGACCU
rnacentral:rRNA from 1 species